rnacentral:rRNA from 1 species
AGUGAACGCUGGCGGUAGGCCUAACACAUGCGAGUCGAACGGCAGCACAGUAAGAGCUUGCUCUUACGGGUGGCGAGUGGCGGACGGGUGAGGAAUACAUCGGAAUCUACUUUUUCGUGGGGGAUAACGUAGGGAAACUUACGCUAAUACCGCAUACGACCUACGGGUGAAAGCAGGGGAUCUUCGGACCUUGCGCGAUUGAAUGAGCCGAUGUCGGAUUAGCUAGUUGGCGGGGUAAAGGCCCACCAAGGCGACGAUCCGUAGCUGGUCUGUGAGGAUGAUCAGCCAAACUGGAACUGAGACACGGUCCAGACUCCUACGGGAGGCAGCAGUGGGGAAUAUUGGACAAUGGGCGCAAGCCUGAUCCAGCCAUACCGCGUGGGUGAAGAAGGCCUUCGGGUUGUAAAGCCCUUUUGUUGGGAAAGAAAAGCAGCAGGUUAAUACCCCGCUGUUCUGACGGUACCCAAAGAAUAAGCACCGGCUAACUUCGUG